CACAUCAAAUACGGCUCUUGUCACGCAAAGCGAAGAGACAUUCGUUGCAGUUCAAGCUCUAGCUGAUUGUUUCCUUUCGGACUCUUCUAUUCCGUGUUGACACAUAGAUUAAUCUCCUCUGCACCACGCCAUUUAAGAUGAUAUCUGGCCGACUCAAUAUUAAGCUUCUUCAAAGAUUGCUCCUAACUUUCAUACCCCCAGCAUACCGAGGGCUUCUUACUCGUUUCGUUCGAGUCUAGGCAACUUCGAAAAAUACAGACAAAUUGGCCGGUGGCAAGCAAUAAGUCCUCGUAAAUAGUAAUGAUGAUAAACUGUCAAGCACCUGAUAUAUGCACACAGCCCACUCUCACGAUCCUGUCACCAGGCUCUAGCGAGAUAUUUUCUGAUCACUACUCUCCAACCCAGCGCCAAAAGAAAUAAUGCAGAGCUAAUGUACUCUCUGCCCCUCUCCCUUGACCUGAGUCGGUCCGUCCCCUGACAGCCAAAGACUUGUUCACGCGGGACUGGAAGCAGGGAAGUGUGAUAUGGCGUGGCGCUUCCGAGAACAGGCCUAGCCUGAGGUUGAUAGGUGGUUAUAAAACUACUUGUCCCGCGUUUCAGGACAAUAAUAAUUAACAAUGCUUGCUUCAGGACAGGAUAAUGAAUGAACGAAGUUCCCUUUGUCAUUCGUUUGUUAAUCGGAGACCUGCAGAAAGAGAAGGAAUGAAAUUUCCUAUCUACAAGUCUAACAGAAUUUCAGGGAGAAAAGACGGGCUGUGUCCUGGCUAAUUUUAGCGUUCCUUGACCUAAUCAUGUGGGCAGGGUAUUAAAUUUGGCUUGGGAGGAAAGUCCUGAUACGUCUUCGAAAUGGUGAUAAAACCCGUUUCAUUUCAGUUGGCCAAUUCCCAAAGGAUUUGGGGUUAUUAAGCUUAGGGGAAUGGUGUCUAACCCUUGGUUGCUAAAUUAGGAGUUCAAUCCCUAUGAGGUUGUGGAAGUUAUCGGAGCCCUAGUAUUGUUUAGAUUUCUACAGAGUAGUGUGUGCAAGGACAUAUUCCACACCCUCUAUGCA
rnacentral:sRNA from 1 species